GACGAACGCUGGCGGCGUGCUUAACACAUGCAAGUCGAACGGAAAGGCCCUGCUUUUGUGGGGUGCUCGAGUGGCGAACGGGUGAGUAACACGUGAGUAGCCUGCCCUUGACUUUGGGAUAACUUCAGGAAAAUGGGGCUAAUACCGGAUAGGAGCUCCUGCUGCAUGGUGGGGGUUGGAAAGUUUCGGCGGUUGGGGAUGGACUCGCGGCUUAUCAGCUUGUUGGUGGGGUAGUGGCUUACCAAGGCUUUGACGGGUAGCCGGCCUGAGAGGGUGACCGGCCACAUUGGGACUGAGAUACGGCCCAGACUCCUACGGGAGGCAGCAGUGGGGAAUAUUGCACAAUGGGCGGAAGCCUGAUGCAGCAACGCCGCGUGCGGGAUGACGGCCUUCGGGUUGUAAACCGCUUUCGCCUGUGACGAAGCGUGAGUGACGGUAAUGGGUAAAGAAGCACCGGCUAACUACGUG
rnacentral:rRNA from 1 species